UCUUGGAUCAGCAUCAACAUCUGCGGUGAUCUACACAAUAAGAAAUACAAAGAGUGAGGAUUGUGUCACGGUACAUAUAUGAAAAAUAGAGGUUUUCUUAACUUACUUCAUCCAAUCUCGGUAAAGGAUGCAUGAUAAUAGCUUUUUUCUGCAUCACUCCUAACAGAUCCUUGUCUACGAUAUACUUCCCACGAGCUGCUUCGUAAAGGUCCAGCCUUUCUCCAAACCUCUCUCUUUGGAUUCGUGUUUGAUAAACUACAUCACACUUGGAUGCUACUUCCAUUAAAUCUGAACUUUCUUCCCAUUCAACCCCGCUUGAUGUCAAAUAGUCUUUUAUAUCAUCCUACCAUUAAAAGAACACACUGAAAAUGGUAAGGAACAUACACAAUGAUGUUCUCGAGUAAACCAAACCAUCUUCUUCAGGUUCUCUCAUGGAGGGUGGCAAGUUUAGUGCUACUAACCUUCAUUUUCACAAUUUCAGGGGAAACAAAGUAGAUCUUCACGUCUUUGAACUUGGCAAGCAAGUAUGCAAGAGACCGCACAGUCCUUCCGUUGGCAAGGUCUCCAACU
rnacentral:lncRNA from 1 species